CCGGUGAAUACGUUCCGGGCCUUGUACACACCGCCCGUCAAGCCAUGGAAGCUGGGGGUACCUGAAGUCGGUGACCGUAAGGAGCUGCCUAGGGUAAAACUGGUAACUAGGGCU
rnacentral:rRNA from 1 species